CUUACAGACUGGAGACCACAAGAAGAUGGGGGGCUGCAAGGGUUCCUAGAGGACACUUAAUUACAUGUCUUUUUUAGAGAUGGAUAAACUGAGGGCUCAGUGGGUCAUGACCUGCCCAGAGUCAUGGAGGGAGUGAGAGGCAGAGCCAGGAUGAGCUCCCAGGCCCUGAAACUUCUGGGCCAGUGGCCUACACACAGAGCUUCCCACCCUUCCUCAUUGGGUUUCUGCAAGCCCUCCCCACCCCAGCACUCUGCAGGGCCUGGGAAGUGAACCAGGUGGGAGGAUUCUUAGAGAAGAAAAGUGCUGAUUUAAGAGAAACUGCAUUAUUUGUGAAAUACAAAAUUCAUCUUGUGGGUGUAAGAGAUGCCUUCGUGGACGGAUGAAGCUCCUGGUACUAAGUAGCAGGAGUGCAGUGAAGCUGCUGUGUUCUCCAGCUCGUAGUUAAGGGCCAGUCAGGAUCAGACAUCUUGCCCUGAUGGAAAAGAAGAUGAACAGAUACCUCCUGACCUGGAUAGCAAUUAAUUCUGGGGACCUAGAUCCCCAAGGACUUUAGGAUGAGGCAGCAGUUUGGAUUUAGGAUCAACAUGGUAUUUAAAAUAUAAAAGCAUUGUAGUGUUGGGGAAGCAUCAUUUAAAAGAACUUG
rnacentral:lncRNA from 1 species